CUCUUCUCUCUCACUCUGUCCCUAUCCUGCUCAUGUGCUCUCCCUCUCAAAAUAAACUUAAAAAAAGAAAAAGAAAAAGAAAGCUCAUCAAAGAAUUAACCUGGCUUACCAGAGUUAUAGUUCACUCCAAGGGAAAGGUUUACCGAUGGAAAUCUAUGGGGUGUGAUUCUUACUAGAAAUUUAGCUGCCACUGGGGCUUUAUGACUGAACAGAUUCAGCAAUACUCAAAUGAUCUAUUGCAAAGGCUGAUGCUGUAUGGAGCUUCCAGCAAGCCCUGACUGGAGAAUUACCAUGCAGAGCUCCAGCGUUUUGGAAAAUCGCCCUGCCUUCUUUUGCAGGUAACUCUUCUCCUUUUGAGAGCCUACCUAACCAUGGGACAUCAAGCGACCAUGCGGCCUGACCUGCCUGAUAUGAACUAGGUGUUGUCUAACCCACCAAGUCAGCCCGAGGAGUAGUUAACCUAGCCCAGAAAUCGAUGUGACUGUCUCUCAGACCGGGGAACACUGGCAGUCGACACUGUGUUUCACACUGGGCAGAGGGCAAGAUCACCUCUGUGUAACGCGUAGCUGCGUCUUGUUACGUAGAGACAUGAAGUUUUGUUUUUACCAUUGUACGUUCAAAUAAGCGUGGGAGCGUGUAUACGGAUGCCGAGCAGCCCGAGCUGCUGGCUAUUACGUCUCAGCUCCAAGCCACCCUCCAGACUCUGCUCUGUGCAUCUUUAACAGCUUAGUCCCGGACAGCUUCCUGGUGGGUAGACCAUCUGUCUCACCUUCUGUUCCUCACCACUCUCCUGGUCGUGAGGAGGAAGGCCCAACACGCCCUCAGGCAGUUUCAGCGGCGGGAGAAACUAGGACUUUCUAAGAAGCCCAGGUAGGAAAGGUGCAGUGAAACUCCUCUCCUGAGAAGAGUUUGAGAAUCAUCAGUAGUGACAGGAAACCAGGGAGAUUCGGCUGUUUGUUUCUUGUCUUUAUUGACAAAAAAAGGUCACAGCAUUUCAGACUUUAUUCAAAUACACAAACAGUAACAAACAAUACCCACAAGUGACAGGCAUGGUCCCUAACCUCUGAGCCAAAGGCCAUGUCGGAGGAUGUGGUUGUCCUCUUGGCCACCCCCCAGCAUCUCUGUCCCUUCCUCCCCUACACCUCGCUGACACCCCUGAGAUCAGUUAAGACUGCAGAAACGAAGUCGCUCUAGAGGAGGUUGGGCUGCGCCUCAUUGCCGAGGAAGCAGGCUCUGAAGGAAAGACAGAAGCGUGCUAGUGUGGCAUCUCCUAGGAGAGGCCAGGCUGCUUUGUGAGCUGGGCCUGAGUCGCCCGCGGCCUCAGGCCUGGGCACAACACGAAGAAGGAAGACACUCCCCACCUGGCAGCACUGGGCUGCUGGAGAGAGUGUGGGUCCCUGGCCACGUGACACCCCCAAACUGAUGGAUGGCCAGGCCUCCCUCCGAAGUAAUCAGCUGGGCUCUCCCAGAAGGCUUUCAGUAAAAAAAAAUACUGACUUGGUUCCUAAAGGGCUGGGGCGAAUACUUUUCCAGAAACCUUAAGAACUGAAUCAUCCUCAGACUCAGGAGCACUGGAACAAUUGUCAUUGGGCUGCCAGGAGGGGGACCUCGUGAAAGCCAGCCCUCUAGGGGAGCAGAAAUGUCACUUGUGUUAAUUUCUCAAGAGCAUCGAGUGAGGGGCUCAGCAGUUUUUCUACAGGAUCCACUGUGGGGCUCUGAAAAGAGAAAAGACUUAACUAUGCGUUCCUGAGGGGCUUGCCACCUCUGCCCUCUGGCCUGCCUCGCUUUACCCCUUCGUGCAGGCUCGGGAGCACUAGGAGCACGAGGAGCACGAAGAGCACGAGGAGCACGGGCUGAUGCCCAGGCAUGCCCCAGGGAAAGCAGAUCUGAUUGGGCUCAAGGUCCCAGAUGAAGCUGCUUUCCCUCCUUAGAGUCAAAUGUUACUUUUCUGGCCAAAGAGCAAGUCUUCCAAAGUCCUCUGUCCUACUCAGGUCUGAGCAGCUUUUCCUCCACACGCCCAAUCUCGUGCUUUCCGAAAGAUGACAGGAGGAUGCCUGCGACGUCUCUGAAAGGUGACCGCUUUUGCUGCAGGUAGAAGUUCCUCUAACGUUUAUAGCUGUAGAAAUCGUGGGCACAGGCCAGAGUCCAGGGGCCGAUGUCAACAUGCACGCUCACGUUGGUGUGCAGACACACACGGAGCAGCAGACACCCCUGUACACACAUUUCUAUCCUGCUCUACACACAGAGAGAUAAGGUCAAAGUGAGAUCCGGAGAAGAGUUAUGCCAUCUGCACGCAGGCAGGUCAUGAGUUCCUAAGACGUUCGGCACCGUCUGUGAGUCAUUUCCAAAAACCAUGGCCCCAGACCCCCCUAGUAAGCACUGAGCUGUGGAGCAGAGGGAGCCUCACUGUGAAGGAAACCAGGAGUGACCAACGUGAGUGGCUGUUACAGGUGCAGCGUGCCCCAGAGGCGCCUUCCCUUCUCUGGGCCAUUUGCCACACUGGGAAAAGUCAUCGAGGGAAGAACAAGGAUUCUCCAGCCCUUUGCGUUCAGUGACUGUUCACUAAGACUCAAAAGCGCAGACAGAAGGUCCAGAUACAAGCUCUGUGGUCCCAGCCCGAAGGAGGGCUUUACUCCCCUCCCUGGCCAAACAAGCACUUGAUUCUCAAGGACGCGGCACUCUGCAGACAGAAGUGAUGGUAAAGGGUCGGGCUCAGAGACGCGGGGAGUCCUCGGACUGCCCAGCAAACACAUAUACCCUGCAGGGGCUGGCGUGGCGUCACGGACACGGCUGCGGGGCAGGUUUGCCAAGGUUAGAAACCAGGAGACUCAGACAAAUAUCGAACGUUCAGUCAAGGCAUUUCCAAGAGACAGUCACAGAAAUAAUGACACUUUUGGAUACUACAAUAGAACACAUUUGGCAACUUUCAAAGAAAUAGCUGUCCCCACCCAAGCCAUCAGAGGAUCCAAAGUCCCUUUAUCUUCGGUCCAGUUCAAAAAGUCAGGUUAGGAAGAUGGGUCAGUGGAGGGUGUGGCCUCCCUAAGUGCCCCUCUGUGUGUGACAGGUGUGGGAUGCCGCCUGCCUCUAACCUCCACCUGAGGAGCGAGCAAGCAAGCUACUGGAGGGUCAGGGCUGCCGGAGACAGAUGAGGCAAGGACGAACACGGUAGCAGCUGAGUGCCCCGAACCCAGAGCGGCGAUCCCCAACCUCCACCCACAACCACGGAUACCCCGUCCUCCCCUUCCUCAAAGAGGUUUCGUCCACAGGAAUAUGGGGUAUUCUGCGGAUCUAUCCUUUACCCGAGACCUCAAUUCGACGAACUGAAGCUAGAAUCCUUGGCACCUGCUGCAUUUGUGUGGGGUGCAGGGAAGAGGGGAAAGAUAGUGUUACAAAGUGGCUGCCCACGUCCAACGUGGCACCCAGGCAAAAACAUGGCACGGCCCAGGGACGAUCCUCUGGCCUUUGCUCCAGCGUCCCUGAAGCACAGGCCUGUACGAGGAGCUAGGCCUUCCUCUUCCCCUCCCCCGCAUCCCCCGUAAAGGCCCCCACUGGGAGCCCAGCCCAGCUGCUGUGGUAAGGAUUUGAUCUAACACUGGCUAAGAAGACAAAAGCAGGUUUCUGAAAAGGCAUUCUGCAGCCGGAAGUGCGUCUGUCUUCAGGUUCCUGUGGGGGGCAGGCAGGGGUUCCUUUGGUUUUGACCAGAACACUUCUCCAUUGGGGGGCCAGGCUCAGCCGUGCCUUGCAGGAGCUCGGUUACUGUACAGGAGCAAGAUUUAACUUCACAAGGUGCUCUGCCGGCUUGUUCUCUUGAUGGUUAAGAAUCUGGAAUUUACAUCCGAGAUCCUCUCUCCUGAAGAAUCUGCAAAUGGAAGAUGGGGGGGAGGGCUGAGGCUUGGGCCGAGGCUGCUAAGCAGACUGCUGAGGGAAAAGGGACCCGCGGCCGCUUUCCACUGGACCCCGCUGGGCAGCACAACAGUCCUGUCACCGCAGGAAGCAAGGCAGGGCUGAGCCCUAACCUCCCCUGAAGCACUUCAGUUGUAAAAGCCUCUUGCUGAACACCACUGCACCCACAGUAUCCGUGCUGUCAGACCCCUUCUCCCACGCUAAAGGAAAUUGCCGACUUAGAAGUGUUUAUGAGAGACAGAGAGAGUUGGGGGGGGGGGUGGGCACAGUACAGGAAAAAGAGGAUAACAGUGUACAAUUUUCCAGUAAUUUAAGGUGGGGGAAGUCACAAAGGUAACCAAAUACCUUUUCUCUUGAGACAGGACAAAAAAGAGAAAGAAAAUGGUUUCAAAGAAUAAACAAAAUAUUUUCCAAUUUUGAGUUUCAGAAUUUUCACUUUGCAAUUAGAUUUUUCACUGAUUUGACAGGUGGGUACAUAAAGUCUACUCUAUUUCAGUACCUACUUCCUAAGAACGCUUGGUCACUGCUCCAUAAAUCCUGAUUUAAAUGACAACAGUCAACAACCAAAAUGAAGGAAAAAUGCAAAGCUAGCUUUGGAAGGAAAGAGAAGAAGUCAGGAGCAACAAACAGUCCAGGCCAAGUCCACUGAGGGGCUGUGAACAAACGAGUCAGAGACAAAAUUCUGGUGACGCGAUUUCUUACCUUUGCCUUUUCACUUGGCUCUAUGACAAUGCCAUUGGUAGAAUUAUUGAGUUCUCUGGAGACAACACAGAGGAAUUCUGCCUGAUCCUCAUUUCCGUAGUUAUAGGAAGAUCCAAUGCUGAUUAGCUGACAAAACCAGAGCAUGGUGAACAGUCCUCUUAAAGUGCUAAAGUGCCACACAGACCCAACCCGCCUCCUGUCCGAACUUUGUGGUUUUGCUUCUCACAGGAUGAUGAACUGUCUGGGACUAUCACGGCCCAGGGGAUACCUGGAUCUGUUAUUCACUUGGGCAUCCUCAACAAGGCUUCCCCAGAGAAGGAAAGGAUGGGAUCUGCCACUGUCUCCCCACCCAAGCACUUGAAACAAUCCCAAAGGCAGCAGCUAGGAUGAACAUGAUCAUAUUCCUUCUAGCAAACACUGAGGUGAAAGAGAAUGUUUCUGUGAAUGAAAAUGGACACUUGCUUUAGCCAAACACCUACACAGGGCUGGCUCAUCUUUAAGCAGAAGUCCCAGACAGGAGACUGGCACUCAAAAGGCUCUGGAAAGCACCGAGUGAAUCACUGAAGAGUUACCAUAAGCCAUAUGCUGCUGGGACUUUUAACCUUUUCGGCAAAUUGAAUUCAGGAUUUAAUUUUAAACAGGAAAUGCACAUGCACCGAGAAAAGCGGAGCCCAAGGGUAAGGUCAUCCGGGCAAUCAUGUAGGGCCUCAAGUCAGAAGAAGAGGACUGACUUGCUCUACGAAUGGGCUUUGGGUCCCUCUGCCUUCCUGUGCCUGAACUUCCUCAUCCAUAUAAUAGAGUCAGUGGGAACAUGACUUCAUGUUUCAUGCUUCACCUGCCCCCUGAAUGUUAACAAGAUGAGAAAAAGAAAAUAAAAAAUUAUUCACUGCUUUCAUCAA